GGGCCCGCACAAGCGGUGGAGCAUGUGGUUUAAUUCGAUGGUACGCGAGGAACCUUACCUAGGCUUAAAUGUAGAUUGACGUAUUGGGAAACCAGUAUUUCUUCGGACAAUUUACAAGGUGCUGCAUGGUUGUCGUCAGCUCGUGCUGUGAAGUGUCGGGUUAAGUCCCAUAACGAGCGCAACCCCUAUCAUUAGUUGCUAACAUUUAGUUGAGGACUCUAGUGAAACUGCCCGCGCAAGCGUGGAGGAAGGUGGGGAUGACGUCAAAUCAUCACGGCCCUUACGUCUAGGGCUACACACGUGCUACAAUGGUGAAUACAGAGGGAAGCCAGCUGGUAACAGUGAGCAAAUCCAUAAAAUUCAUCUCAGUUCGGAUUGAGGUCUGCAACUCGACCUCAUGAAGCUGGAAUCGCUAGUAAUCG
rnacentral:rRNA from 1 species